GACGAACGCUGGCGGCGUGCUUAACACAUGCAAGUCGAACGGAAAGACCCUGCUUUUGUGGGGUGCUCGAGUGGCGAACGGGUGAGUAACACGUGAGUAACCUGCCCUUGACUUUGGGAUAACUUCAGGAAACUGGGGCUAAUACCGGAUAGGAGCUCCUGCUGCAUGGUGGGGGUUGGAAAGUUUCGGCGGUUGGGGAUGGACUCGCGGCUUAUCAGCUUGUUGGUGGGGUAGUGGCUUACCAAGGCUUUGACGGGUAGCCGGCCUGAGAGGGUGACCGGCAACAUUGGGACGAGGAUACGGCCCAGACGCCAACGGGAGGAAGCAGUGGGGAAUAUUGCACAAUGGGCGGAGGCCGGAUGCAGCAACGCCGCGUGCGGGAUGACGGCCUUCGGGUUGUAAACCGCUUUGGCCUGUGACGAGGCGUGAGUGAGGGUAAUGGGUAAAGAAGAACCGGCAAACUACGU
rnacentral:rRNA from 1 species